rnacentral:lncRNA from 1 species
AGUGCACCUCCCGCCGUAGCCUGAGAGGGAUCGGCCCGAUUGGCCACGCUCCUUCAAACCACCACUUUCCCCCGAAAAAGGGACGAAAGCCUCAGGUCCCCAAACGAGCGCUCCCUCGCCCAGAGACCCCGGCUUGCACACCCCGCCCUGUUCCCCGCGGCGCGGGAGGAGAGGCCGCCCCACACAGGAAGUGUGUCCUGCGCCGGGACCUUGCGCCCAACCCGCCGGUACCUGCCCUCCGCCCCCAACAGGCGAGAAGCAGCCGCGUCCACAUGGCUUCAGGUCACUGAUUCUACUACCAUCUGUCAGCGUGGAUUGAUUGAGGAGACUGGCCCUGCUCGGCAGAUCAGUGACUUGUGCGAAGUGAGCCAGGGUGUCGGUGCCUUCAGAGCAGGCGGAUGUCCUUCCUCACUUGCCAGCUCUCGGUCCCACAGAAACUUCUGCUCUCCAGGUUUGCCCCUCCACUCUGCCCUCCAGGAUAGAAGUGUGGCAUCCUAAUCUGGGAUGCAUCCAUCUCUCCCCCUGGACUGUGAGCAUAUGCAGGGCAGAGACACCUCUGCUUCUCUUGGGUCUCCGGCAUCCUGUGCAGGAUGGGGCCACUGAGGUGCAAAGAGUUUAACUUAUCCCAAGUCACACAGUUUGGAAGAGGCUGAGCUGGUAUUUGAACCCAGGUUUUCAGAGGCUGCACUCUUAACCACCAAGCUUCCCAGCACUCAGCAAACACUGGAAAGACAGAGAUGGACCUAGACAGUCAGUAGGACCAAAAGUCUGCAGGCCGAUAGGGAAAGAAUGUAAGAGGACGGCAUGGGCAGCGCCAGCCCCUCCAGCAGUCAUAUAUUAAGCCCUGGACACUGGGCAGCUCGGGCAGGUCGGGGGGCCUCAGACUCUCGGACCCCAUGCCUGGAAGACCACGGUCUGCCCAACAAGCAGCAGCUGCUGUGAAUCGACUUACACAUCUUCCCCACAGGUGAGCAGAGAGCUAACACCUGAGGAUAGGCCAAGAAACGGGAAGCCCGUGCAACCUGAGCGCACAGAUCACCCCCACCUGCCCGGCACUCACUGUCCCCAGUGGCUGGACUCUCAUCGGGCCAGUCACUGAGCUGGCGCCAGCCUGGUCUCACCAGUGUGUGUCUUUAAAUCAUCCAAUUUCUUCAGCUGUAAAUUGGGCUGGGAGGGGCCAGGUGAGCUGCCUGCCUCAGGGGAGUCGGCGCCCUUACCUGAGUGAUCCCAUUCACUCCUCACAACAAACCCAUGAGGCAGGGAUUGUCAUCUUCAUUGUACAGAGCAGGAAAUGGGUGCACACAGAGGUUAAGAGACUUGCCCAGGUCACACAGCUAGGAAGAGGCUGUGAUUUGAACUCAGUCUUCUGGCUCCAAAGCCCCCACAGAGUCACUCAGGGCACUACAAAGAGUUAACCUGAAUAUGAAAUGAUCUAAGAGUCGCAGUGACAAAGGCAUGCUCUAAGCGCUUUUCCUGCAGUAACUUGCUUAAUCCUUACAACAACCCUAUAAAGUGGGUACUGUUCUCGCCUCAUUUUGCAGAUGAGGAAACUGAGGCACAGAGCAGCUCGGAGGGGGCAGAGCUGAAUCUGACAGGCUACAGGGCCCCUGCGUUGCUUUGUUAUAAGAUGACAAUAAGGAAGUUCCUUUCCUUUGGGAUUAUUUCUGCCUGAAAGCUCAAGACUUUUAGCCACAUCAUUGUCUGGGCUCCACGGGAAGGCAGUGCCACAUGCUGAGGCAUGCUGGGAAAAGACUUUGUUCCAUCCUGUUUUGUUGACAUGCUCUUCAUUUUUAAGCCUGAAACCGAAGCUUCCUGCUAAGAAUUCAAACCAUGGAGAAAAACGCAGCCAUGAUAACGGCCACUACUUCCUGAGCCUCCAGUGUUCCCUGUGCUUGGGGAUCCAUAUAUGUCACUUAACCUUAACCUUCACAACACCAGGGCAGCCUCCAUUUUCACAAGUGAAGAAAUGGAGGCCCAGAGUCACUUAGAAGAUGCUCGAAGGUGCACAGCUGCUAAGUGGUGGUGCUGGGAUUUGUCCUCAGGUCCUCAAGAGUCCUGACUCUUAUGUGCUGGCUCCCCACGGAGGCGUGGAGUCUUGUUUGCUGGGCAUUUGACAGAAAUGUUUCUGCUCAUCUUCUGCCACAGGUUGGUCCUUCAGCGUCAAGAUUCCUGGGCCACUUAUUAAUAGAAGGCACCAGGACACAGGUGCAGGGAUGCAGAGCUGGAUGCUGCCUUCUCAAUAGGAGAAGCCAAGAAACGCAGAUGCCGAUGCUUAAUCAACUCCGUCUCUCCCUCUAGUGACUCGGGGAUAGCUGCCCUGAUGCCAAGGCGAUUGUCUUCUGGAAGCAGCCACGCCGUGUGAGGUUCCUCAUCACUGCCCUGCAUCUCCCUGCGAGCUCUCGGGGAUAAUUGCAAAAUCACGUUUGAUUCCAGGGGAGCAGAAAGCAGCAGGAGCCGUGAAUUCUCCAACUCUUAACUGGUCCUCGACUGGAGCCACUUUUCCCUGCCCACCCAUCCCUGUGGCGGAUUCAUUACAGUUAUCCAAAGCCGGUUUUAACUUUGCUCCCCCUGGCUCAGAAGUCUGUCAGUGGGUCCUGAGCGGCUUCACCAUUCAAGUUUAUUCCUAUCAGCCUGGAAUACAAUGCUCUAUCUGGCUCCGCUUGCUUCUCCAAACCUUCUCUCCCAGGUCUCAUUCUGCCUCUCUGUCUAACUAGACAAGUUGGCUUCCUGUCCUGUGCCUGUCUGCUCCCUGCAGCAGGAAUGCCGUUCCCUCUUCCCUACAGAUUGAAAUUAUAUCCUCUUUCAAGUCUUACUCAAAUGCCACCUCCUCCACAAACUCUUAACACUUAUUCAUUCAUUCAACAAACAUUGACUGAGCCCUUAUGACAAGCAUUGAUCCCAAGGGUCCCUGUGGUCAUGAAGUUUAUGGUGCCAUGGAGCUGUUAGAAAAAGAAUCAUCACAUAAAUAAUCAUCUGAUAACAGCCAUGAUACAAAUUAGUAAGAAAGUGUGGCAGGAGCACAGCAGAUGUACAAUAGGGACCCUGAGCCUUGGGGAUCUAGGACAUUUGAGCUGAGGCCUGAAAGACAAGUAGGAAGUAACCACAUGGUGAAGUUGGAGGAGAGCUCCAGGCAGAGGGCACGGCAUGGGCAAAGGCCCUGCGGUAGGAGGGAACAAGUAGAUUUCCAGGAAGGGCACAGGGGCCUGCAGGGUAAUGUAAGUGAAAUGAGAAAGCUGGAGAUGCAGCUGGAGCAGGACAGUACAGGCCACAGAGGCUUUGCGACUUUAUCCCUGGGCAAAAAGAGGAGAUGAUGAAGGAUUCUGAGCACAGGACACAAGCCAGUAUGUAUUUAGACGCGAUCCUGCCCUGUGGCUGAGCCUCUUCUGAGAAGUGCAGGCCCUGUGUCACGUCACCCUGAACCUCAGUCAUCAGGGUUUUGGAUGUGAGUUUCCAUAUCCCUCUUCCUAGGCCAAGCUCUCAAAGGCAAGGCUGACCUCUGGUCUUCAGCUUCAUCCUCAUCAGCCAGGCCAGUGCCCAGCACAAGGAGCUGCUCCAAAAACAUACGUGGGUUGAACCAGUGACCAGGACAAGACGCUUAUCAGCAUUUCCCUGCGAAGGAGCAGGGCUGCCUGUAAAGCCUUCCACAUUCUCUAGAAAUUACAAAGUUCAAGGGUUUUAGUGAGGCCACGACUCAGGGAGCCCUUGAGAGCCAAGCUGGCAUCCCACUGCUGUGCACACCCAGCCUGGGCACACAGUAUGACCCUGCCCAGGCAUCUGCCUGCGGCCGUCUGGUGAAUGACCAGAAACAGAACCGAAAGCUCUGUAAAGUGCUCUCAAGGUUACAAAGCAUGUUUCACAGGAGCAGUUUCAUCUCACACGGGCAGCCCUCUGAGCUGGGUAGUUACUGCUUUACAGAUGAGGAAACUGAGGCCCGGGAGAGGGCGGGACCUCAGCAAAUCAAGAAAAAACUGAGACUAGGACCUAACGGAAGUCCAGGCUAUGAAUGGCCCCCGUAGGGUUAAAAGAGCUUUCUAGAAAUUUCUUUGAAAACUAUUGUAAAGUGACAUAUUUCCUCAGGAUGUCUGUCACGCCAGCAGUGGGAGCCAACACACCAACUCUCAGAGGCUGUUCCCCCUGCGCGGCAGAUCCAGACGCUCAGCUCCCAGGCCUGGAGGCUGGCGGCUUAGCCCAGGGCACAGGAGGAGGCUGCCUGGGUUUGGCGCUGACUUACAGCAGGUGCUGAGGGAAUGCUGAGGAGAGGCAAGGCUGAUUCAAGAGGCCGACAACAGAGAACAUUCCUAGAGCUCUCCCGCCAGCUAGGCAUGGUGCUAAGUGCAUUACCUGCGUCCACUCGUAACAUCCUCACAACACUGUGAAUACGAUGACCAUCCCCAUGUACAGGCGUGGACGCUAAGGCUCAGAGCAAUAAAUAAUUAGCCUGAGAUCACACGGCAGGUGAGUGCAGAGGCCGGAUCUGAACCCACACAUUGCCCUUAAGCAACCCCAUGUCCUGAGCAAAGGUGAGCAGAAACAUCUUGGGAAGAGGGAACCACGACUGUAUCUUCCUCAGCAGACAUGAUGGUGCAGGGUACCCCUUCCCCUGCCCACCUGACGACCAUUAUUCCCAUUAUCAGUAUAUCCCUCUGUGGGCAAAUGAUGACAGACAUGCAUGGUAACCACUUCUUCACAAGUUUUGUGUCUCCCCAGCCUCCUCCCCUAGGGCUCUCUAGGCUUCCUUUACCCGUCCUGCCUCAGAUGGACUCCCAGCAUCAUCAUCUGCCUCUGUGCCUUCUUGGUAGUAGGUGGGUGUGAAAAAGAAAGGAAGGGCCAGGUGCAGUGGCUCAUACCUGUAGUCCCAGCACUUUGGGAGGCUGAGGCGGGCGGAUCACCUGAGGUCAGGAGUUCGAAACCAGCCUGGCCAACAUGGUGAAACCCUAUCUCUGGUGGCAGGUGCCUGUAAUCCCAGCUACUUGGAAGGCUGAGGCUGGAGAAUCACUUGAACCUGGGAGGCAGAGGUUGCAGUGAGCAGAGAUUGCGCCACUGCACUCCAGUCUGGGCAACAGAGCGACUCCCUCUCAAUAAAUAAAAUAAAAUAAGGAAGGACAGAGGGCAAUGUGACCUUCGGCAAGCUCCCUAAGCUCCUGAAGCCUCAGCCUUUUCACCCGUAGAACAGGGACAUUAACAUCACCCCCGAGUGAGGGCUGCAGGCACACAGUGACUGCGCUUCUCAGUGCCACAAGUGCUGUUGCCAUCAUUCCAGCCUCAGGUGCUCCGUGAGGUGGGACGAUUCACCCCAUGAGCAAACAGGCUCAGGGAGGUGUGGUGCCUACAGUCACCCAGCAGACACAGCGGAGCAAGGAGGAAGCCACACCUG